UCAGAUGUAUUCAAUCAACAGGUCUCACAGAAUGAUUUUGUGAAUUUAGCGGAUUCCCCGACGACACCAUUGGUGACAAAUUCGAAACUACAAGAUGUUGCUACACACAUAGCAAAGAAGCUUAUUGAUCUUUCAUCUCCGGUUUGUGAUCCUCAAUUCAUACUCGUUGAUGAUUCUAUAAGUCCAGAAGUAAAAAUCAUAGGAGAGUGCAACUUCAAGAAUAAGUAUGAAGCUAUGUCAAAGGAAACGGAUGAAGCGUACAACAAACUGAAGAAAAUUGCAACAACACCAAUUGAGGAGCACAAUAAUUACAUAUCCCACCAUUCUGACAACAACAUAUUCAAACAUUCAGCAAGCAACACUAUUCCUUCUUCAAGCAGAAGUCAGCAAAAUAUUGUCCCCAGGAGAUAUGUUGCACCAUGUAAGAGGUACACUGACCCAUUUGUGCCUUUUGUCACCAAUGCUAGCCGUUUUCCGUGUUUGCCAUCCGAAAGAAGGUAUUACAGUGCAAUCUACACAAUUGGGAAGGAUCCAGAAAU